rnacentral:misc_RNA from 1 species
UCCGAGUUGACCCCGGCAGUCUCCUGCGAGUCCCCGCCAUUACGCGCUGGCAACACAGGACAAGGGUUGCGCUCGUUGCGGGACUUAACCCAACAUCUCACGACACGAGCUGACGACAGCCAUGCAGCACCUGUGCACGGACUCCGAAGAGGGGCCGAUGUUUCCACCGGCUUUCCCGUGCAUGUCAAGCCUUGGUAAGGUUCUUCGCGUUGCGUCGAAUUAAACCACAUGCUCCGCUGCUUGUGCGGGUCCCCGUCAAUUCCUUUGAGUUUUAGCCUUGCGGCCGUACUCCCCAGGCGGGGUGCUUAAUGCGUUAGCUUCGGCACGGAUGGAGUCGACACCACCCACACCUAGCACCCAUCGUUUACGGCGUGGACUAC